AGGGAGAAGAUUUGGCGGGAAGUGGUAGCCCCCAAACAUUUUUAAAAAUUUUAUAUGUUUACAUAUAUGGUGGUGAACUGGUAAUAUGUAUAAAUUAUAUAAGUAUUUCCUAGUUGCUUCCCACCCAAUAUACUUCUAUUAGGCUUUGGCCCCUCUUGGAAUGCUUUGUAGCAUUGAUAGACAGUUGUAUUGCUAAUUUUCAACUUCUGUUAUCAAACAUCAUCACUUGUGAUAUCUGUUUGAUCUUCA